rnacentral:rRNA from 1 species
CAGUAGCCGCGGUAAUACGUAGGUGGCAAGCGUUGUCCGGAAUUAUUGGGCGUAAAGGGCUCGCAGGCGGUCUCUUAAGUCUGAUGUGAAAGCCCCCGGCUCAACCGGGGAGGGUCAUUGGAAACUGGGAAACUUGAGUGCAGAAGAGGAGAGUGGAAUUCCACGUGUAGCGGUGAAAUGCGUAGAGAUGUGGAGGAACACCAGUGGCGAAGGCGACUCUCUGGUCUGUAACUGACGCUGAGGAGCGAAAGCGUGGGGAGCGAACAGGAUUAGAUACCCGCGUAGUCCCUGUCUCUUAUAC